CAACAACUCAAGCUCAGCUUGGUCUUGAGCCCAGCCGGUAACGGCGGGCUUUAAAAUCAGUGGCGGUGCCUUCUUGGUUCUAAGCGUAGUAAUACUUUUCGCUAUUGAGUCCAAGUAGAUACUGGCCAACAACCCCAAUUUUUCAA
rnacentral:misc_RNA from 1 species